UAGGGUUGCAGUUCCCUUUAGCUCCUUGG
rnacentral:piRNA from 1 species